ACUCAGCUGAAGAGUCCGAAAUAGAGCGAAACGCGCGUCCUGAAU
rnacentral:hammerhead_ribozyme from 1 species